GGUGAUAAAAUUUCAUUUACAAUGAAAGUAACCUAAACGGCACCUGUAUAGUUAUAAGAUAGAUAGAA
rnacentral:tRNA from 1 species